GGACCAGACUCCUACGGGAGGCAGCAGUAGGGAAUUUUGCGCAAUGGGGGAAACCCUGACGCAGCAACGCCGCGUGAUUGAUGAAGCCCUUCGGGGUGUAAAGAUCUGUCAGUGGGGACGAAACUUGACGGUACCUGACUAAGAAGCCCCGGCUAACUACGUGCCAGCAGCCGCGGUAAUACGUAGGGGGCGAGCGUUAUCCGGAUUCACUGGGUGUAAAGGGAGCGUAGACGGCCAAGCAAGCCAGGGGUGAAAGCCCGGGGCCCAACCCCGGGACUGCCCUUGGAACUGCUUGGCUGGAGUGCGGGAGGGGCAGGCGGAAUUCCUGGUGUAGCGGUGAAAUGCGUAGAUAUCAGGAGGAACACCGGCGGCGAAGGCGGCCUGCUGGACCGCGACUGACGUUGAGGCUCGAAAGCGUGGGGAGCGAACGGGAUUAGAUACCCCCGUA
rnacentral:rRNA from 1 species